AUGGAAGAGGUACAAAAUUCUACAGCAAUGCAGAAGAAAACUACAGCACAGCAAAAGCCAAUGAAGACCUGCCUGACAGCAAUCCCUGGACGCCCUGGAAAGAAAAUGGGCCACAUCUCCUCGACUGCACUGGAUCCAACUUGCUCCAUUUCAACUGACACUCCGGCCAGAGGUUCGGGUACUGACUUCAAUCAAGUUGAGGAUUUCAAGCGAGACCUUCAAUCAAGUAAAUCCCAUCUAACAUGGACUGGAUACUAACAUUUUCUUUCUACAGGACCCCAUAUGACUAUCAACGUCCCAUUUCAGCAGGAAGUAACUUGGAGAAUGCUACGCCCCCUUUCCCCAUUGUUGUCACUUAGGAUAGUGUAUAUACCUAGUUAGGAAUAGCUUCCUAUUGUUUAUGACUUUAGGGUUUAGUUAUAUUUUACCUUUAUACUGUUAAGUUUUAAUCCUCUUUUAGACUAAAAGGGGAAUUGUGGGGCUGGCUACAGCUUCCCCUACAAUGGCCUCUAAUAAAG
rnacentral:lncRNA from 1 species